UCCUACGGGUGGCUGCAGUCGAGGAUCAUUCGCAAUGAGCGAAAGCUUGACGAUGCGACGCUGCGUGAACGAUGAAGGCCUUCGGGUUGUAAAGUUCUUUCGCGUUUGAACAAGAGAGAGUUGUGAAUAGCAGCUCGAUUUGAGGGUAAAACGUAAAGAAGCACCGGCUAACUCCGUGCCAGCAGCUGCGGUAAUACGGAGGGUGCAAGCGUUAAUCGGAAUUAUUGGGCGUAAAGGGCGCGUAGGCUGAUUUAUAAGUCUGGUUUGAAAUACCGUGGCUCAACCACGGUGCGGGACUGGAAACUAUAAAUCUAGAGGGUAGGCGGAGAAAACGGAAUUCCAAGUGUAGCGGUGAAAUGCGUAGAUAUUUGGAAGAACACCUGUGGCGAAAGCGGUUUUCUAGCUUAUUCCUGACGCUGAGGCGCGAGAGCAAGGGGAGCAAACAGGAUUAGAUACCCCGGUAGUC
rnacentral:rRNA from 1 species